rnacentral:lncRNA from 1 species
CCAAAUUUGAGCAAUACAUAUUUGCUGAUUAUACAAACUUCAUUAAUGUGGAAAACGUGUACGAGGACAUUAUCCAGGAGAUACUGGAAAAAGACGUCAGCAUGGUGGUCAAGGAGGCAGCCAGCAAGAAGAAAUUCAACCUGUUCUCAGAGAGCAGAUACAAUUUCAGUGUGUCCAGCUUAUCCUUCACACCCCCAGGAUCCGCACCCAGCAGCCCAGGACACUUAAAUACCUCCCCAAGACUGCGCACACACAUGCCUCCCUCCCCGCUGCUGGGCAAUGGUCUGACAGCAAACCAAUCUGUGACUGUUCACUUGUCAGAAAGCAAUGCACUGGAACAAGCUCUGCCUAUCAUGGGAAAAAUCGAUGAAGGAGAAAACAAAACACUCUUAGAGGAGAGCAGUGAUGAUGUAUUUAUCACUGCUGAAACAUCAACCUUGGAUACAUCAGCUGAGACUAAACCAGAACUCACCACAAAUGCCAUGGAAGCUUUGGUCAGUUCCAUUCCCAUUAUUAAGGUAACAGAAGCUGUAGAAAGUGCUGGUAGUAGCAAUUUACCAGCAGGAGGUGAUGCAACGUCUUCAGACUUUGCUAAUAAGCCCACAGUAGUAGUCAACCCAAUCUGUAUGAAAACCUCUGGCUCUAAUGGUGAGCGUGCUGAAACUGAGGACAACAGCGAGGAAAUGACAGAAGAUUCAUCAAAUGAUCCAGCCCGGAUUAAGGCACUAAUACAUGAAGAAAGCACAUAUCCGAUCGCAGUUUGUUUAUCUAUUCAAGAUGCAGAGGACGGAGAUAUCUACAAAGAGUUCACAGGCAAACAAAUCAUGGAUCUUUCAGAAAAAGCCUCAGAAUCCCAGUCUUUACCAAACCUAGAGGAUGAGCCCAGGCCCCUGGACUGUGUGAAGGAGAUCCGGGACCUGGUAGUGGAGGUUAUUGAAAUAGAGGACAUGGUUCAGCCUUCCAAAGACAAUGGAGAAAAAGUUCAAGUUCAAACGUUCGAGGAACAAGAUGCUGUAGUUUAAGUUUCAAUGACCAUGUCGGGAAUUAAAACUUGUUCACCCCUUCAUUUUUUUGUGUUAGGAGACAAACUGUACAUUUUGAAGUUGGUUUCAUCAUUGCACAGAAGGUAAUUAUAGUUUACUGUAGAUAUACUGUAUAUGUAUAUACACACCACUAUUCAAAUGUUUGGGGUCAGUAAGAUUUUUUUUUAAAGAAAUUAAUAUUUUAUAUUGAUGAAAACUGACACUAAGAACAGUAAUAUAAUACAAAAAAAUAUAUUUCGAUUAAAUGCUGUUCUUUUCAACUUUGUAUUCAUCAAAACAUCUUAAAGUAUC